rfam:Triticum aestivum genome assembly, contig: Triticum_aestivum_CS42_TGACv1_scaffold_288890_4AL
UAUAUACUCCCUCCGUCCAAAAAUACUUGUCAUCAAAAUGGAUAAACAUGAAUAUAUCUAGAACUAAAAUACGUCUAGAUACAUCUCCUUUUAUCCAUUUUGACGAAUGAUGAUAGGUAUUUCUGGACGAAGGGAGUAUCCA